rnacentral:rRNA from 1 species
UGUCGUCAGCUCGUGUCGUGAGAUGUUGGGUUAAGUCCGUAACGAGCGCAACCCUUGUCCUUAGUUACCAGCACGUUAUGUGGGCACUCUAAGGAGACUGCCGGUGACAAACCGGAGGAAGGUGGGGAUGACGUCAAGUCAUCAUGGCCCUUACGGCCUGGGCUACACACGUGCUACAAUGGUCGGUACAAAGGGUUGCCAAGCCGCGAGGUGGAGCUAAUCCCAUAAAACCGAUCGUAGUCCGGAUCGCAGUCUGCAACUCGACUGCGUGAAGUCGGAAUCGCUAGUAAUCGUGAAUCAGAAUGUCACGGUGAAUACGUUCCCGGGCCUU